GAUGAACGCUGGCGGCGUGCCUAAUACAUGCAAGUCGAGCGAACAGACGAGGAGCUUGCUCCUCUGACGUUAGCGGCGGACGGGUGAGUAACACGUGGAUAACCUACCUAUAAGACUGGGAUAACUUCGGGAAACCGGAGCUAAUACCGGAUAAUAUAUUGAACCGCAUGGUUCAAUAGUGAAAGACGGUUUUGCUGUCACUUAUAGAUGGAUCCGCGCCGCAUUAGCUAGUUGGUAAGGUAACGGCUUACAAAGGCAACGAUGCGUAGCCGACCUGAGAGGGUGAUCGGCCACACUGGAACUGAGAAACGUUCCAGACUCCUACGGGAGGCAGCAGUAGGGAAUCUUACGCAAUGGGCGAAAGCCUGACGGAGCAACGCCGCGUGAGUGAUGAAGGUCUUCGGAUCGUAAAACUCUGUUAUUAGGGAAGAACAAAUGUGUAAGUAACUAUGCACGUCUUGACGGUACCUAAUCAGAAAGCAACGGCUAACUACGUG
rnacentral:rRNA from 1 species